UCUUUGGCCAUUUCUUAAGGUAUUUCUGAGAAGUGGGAAGGUGGGGCUUAGUGGAGAUGUCAUGCUUGAUAUUCAAUACAAGCAUUGAUACAACAGAAGCAGUGUGGAACGUCUGUCCUUCAUUGCCAUUAAAUUCUGUCUCCUGCUCUCUGGAAGGAGGCUGCCAGGGAUAAUCAAACUCAAGCUCUUCCCAGAGAGGACAGCGACACAAAACACACCAGAACUAAGCACUGGUACAUCAGGUCCCAACUUGAUCGACUGAGGAUACAUCUUAUAAAUUCUUUUCCUUUAUUGUUACUUUACUUAAUGUAUAAAAAUGACAAUAGUUUUAUACACUCAUAGUGUGUUUUAAAAGCGCCUAUCACAUAGAAUGGUAGUGCAAAUCGAUUGCCUUUCCUGGUCUGCCCAAUCCCAGGUUUCUGUGCUCCAAAGUAAGCACUAUUAAUAGCUCUUCAUAUGUUCUCCUAAACAUUUUCAGAGAGGAGAAGAGAAAAAUUAUUUUUUUCUGUGUCCCAAUUUUUUUUCCUCUCAGAGCUCACAGUAAUAUGUAUCAUCACUAAAUCUUUACCAGGCGAGUCCCAUAAAUAUCUCAAGCUAUUCCAACGAUGCUAGAGAGGCAAUUUGGGCAGGGAAGAGAUGGCAAUUACAAUGAAUGACAGACCGGAUAAUUUUUUCCAGCCUUCCAUGCUUUUUGUUUAUGUAUUUUUAAAUCUGAAUUCAUUUUGAAUUUCAUAGCUACUUUAAUUUAAAAGGGGCUGCAUUUACUGAAAUUAUGUUGGGGCCUAAAUUAACUCCCUAUAAAUCCAGGGUGCAUGUGAACCUGGGCCACGGAGCUGAAUAUGGUGGUCCUAUAUCCUUGAACACGUUUGUUUUCUGUUUUUUAACUGAGGAUUGGCAGGAUUUCACACUGAGCUACAUCCCCAGCCCUUUGCUUUAUUUUUUAUUUUUGAGGUAAGUUCCACUAAGACACUGAGUUGCCCAGACUGAGCUUGAGCUUGCCAUCCUCCUGCCUCAGCCUCCCAGAGUGCUAGGGUUAUGAACGUGUGCCACCACUAUGGCCAACUUCCUUAACAUCUUGUGGCUUUGAAAUCCUGACACUUGGCUAUUCCCUUUAAGUCCUAGUACCAGAAUGCAUCACUCCUCUGUCCUCCAAUCUCCUGCUGGCCCAAACACAUCUUAAACCUUGGUCUUGGUAAACACCCACUGGCACUUGACCAUUGUACCUGGGUUUGGUCUCAGCUUCUCCAGAGGUGGAGUCAUUCUGGCCUCCAGUCUGACUUGAGGCAGACUCAACAUUACCUAAAAGGAGGAUCUGCCACCAGAUGGUCACUCUGUCUUUCUGUCCUGUCACAGAUUGCUGUGGACAGAAAACACAAAGAAAAGUGUUUCUCUUCAUUUUUGUUCUUCAUGCAAGUCAGCCCGAACCCAGAGCCCCUGGGAACACCUCAUUAACAGAAACGGAGCAGAGCAAGAUUGCUGGAAGAGAGGUACAAACAGAAGCUGCAGCCUGACCAAAGCUGGCGGAGAGACAUGCUGGGGCCUGACAGUCAGCUUCUCUCACACCUGCCCUGCGAAGUCCACCUGGCUCAGGUGACUCCCCUCCCCCAGGCCACCCACAGUUCCUCUUUACAGCUGUGCCGAGGCACGGGACCGGCCUGGUCUCGGUGGGGCCACACUGGUCUAGCCUCGGGCACCUGAUGAGAAGGCUUCCCCAGGGCAUCCUGGGUGCUCUUCUCAGGCAAAGGGGGAAGAAGAUGAGGACAGGGCCGCCUCCUCCAGGACACCCUCCCCAGAGGGUCUGGCCCCUGCAGGUCAUUCAGCCUACAGAUGAUGUCGGCCAGCUCAGAAAGCAGAAGCCAGGAAGAUGGAACCCCAGCCUUGGGCUGUGGUCGAUGCUACCCCUGCCCCUCAUGCCACACGCUUUGUCGUGAUUAAAGCUCAGAAAGUUCCA